GUGUGUGUGUGUGUGUGUGUGUGUGUGUGUGUGUGUGUGUGUGUGUGUGUGUGUGUGUGUGUGUGUGUGUGUGUGUGUGUGUGUGUGUGUGUGUGUGUGUGUGUGCGUGCGUGGGUGCGUGCGUGCGUGCGUGUUGGAUGUGAAUAAAUCAGUGUGCCCGUGUUUGUCCCUUGUCUUUCCCGAUGUGUGUAUGUGCAUGUGGAAAUGUGCACAUUUUUGUGUACGAGCUGAUGUUACGAGUGGGCUCAUUGAUCUGCUGCAUCAGCAUCUUUCCACAUGUGGAUGUUUGUGGCAAGCUGAGCAGUUUCUGGCAUUAUACAUUGAUUGAUGAGCAGAGAACUCCUCUACCUUAUCGCUUCUCCGGUUUUCCGGCUGCUUCUCUCUGCUCUGGAUUCAUGGAAAAUCAUGGGACGUUUUUUUCAAGGGAGGAGCAGAAAUUGAACCCUCAAGUGUCAGCAUAGAAUUCAAGGGUGAAUUCAAGGUUCUGGGCUGACUCUUUUCCUGUCAAUGCAUCUUUGAAGAAGGUGACUUCUGGCUGCAGCAACAUUUUAAUGACUUCCUGCUGCCACUUUCUCUUUCUGUGAAACCGUCCAGGCUGCUGCGCAGAGCCCUUAACCUCCUGACCUCUCGCUGCUUCUCGGCAUCUUCUCAUCGUCUUCUCCCUCCAUAACUCAGUUACGCCAUCUGUCAACGAAAUGGAACGCUAAAACCUCUUUUGCUGUAACUUCAUUUCUUUCACAUCCUCCAGCUUGCGCUCACGUGGUUCUUUUUUAACAACUUCUUUCUUUCCCAGCUUGUUGCCUCAUAGUCUUCCCAUCCCAUUUUAGGAAAAUGUCUUGGCUUGCAGCUGUUUCACGUGCACCCUGCGUGUCCAUGUGGGUAUGUGCUGAAACACGACCUUAUGCCUUUAAAACUCUCUCAUGUGUCAGUGCGAUGUGCCAAGUAAUUCAACAGCGAGAGGUGGCAUCUGUCCAAGCCACCGUGGGUGUCGGACUGUCAGAGGGACAGAAAGAGCGGGCUGUUCCAUUCAGAGGACUCAAGGAUCCGUGUUGCGUCACACACACAGAAGACUGCUGAAGGGACAGCCGUGAUGGGACUCUCACUUUGCUUUAAAGCUCUCAUCAUGGCAGCACAACGGUCAAAUUUACCAAAUCGUCGUAGGGAUGUGGAGGAUGCCUUUAACCGCUGAGCAGAAUCCAGCCGACAGAACUGCUAUGGAUGGAAAGACGAACGCCAAUAUCUCACUGAGAGUUUGUUUUAAAAGUUCUCCAUGCCUCUCAACUGGAGUCCCAUGUUUGAUGGCGUGGGGAGGAGUCGGCAACUGGUUUGCAAACAAAAUAAGAUCAAUCUGAGACACAGUUCAGACAAUCUGUGAUUAAACUGGAACAGGAACACUUGUUGUUCAGGUGAACCAGUUGUGUAUAAAACUCGUCACAAUAUGGAAGAAAAAGUAAUUUAGAGUUUCUCCGGCUAGUCUCAAAGUCAGAGUCCAGUCAGUCCACUGGUCUGAACCAUUUCACCUUGGGCCUGUACUGAUAUAGUGCCUUAUAGGGUUCUGCAACCCCCCAAGGUGCUUCACAACACAAUCAGUCAUCCACCCAUUCACACGAUGGUGGGGAUGAGUUAUGAUGUAGCCACAGCUGCCCGGGAGCACACUGAACACUGGCACCACGGUCCCUCCGACCACCACCAGUAGGCAAGGCAGGUUGAGUGUCUUGCCCAAGGACACGACAGCAGCAUUCUCUGGUCGGAGCUGGGAUGGAUCCCACAACCCUCUGGUUACUGGGCAACACGCUCUACCUCCUGAGCUCCUGCUGCACUGCUGCUACCUUCCCUAUUAGGCUGGAGGGUUUGUCACAAUGAGACACUGAUGGGUCCUUCGAAGGUCACACUUUACUCCUGUGGUAGCGUUUCUGACAUGCCCUGCCUAAACUCCUAAAAGAUCUAACACAACCUAAAAGACUGGUUUCCAUGACUUUCAUUCAUACUAAUGAUCAGUAAAGAGUGAAUAUUAAAAAAUGAGAUAUUCCAGGAAGUCCAAAUGUAAUAUUUCUCGCUGAAAGGGUUUUUAACUUAUACACGUAACCCGGCAUUUCCACGGCACACGUAAGCAUCACAGCAUGUCCCUUCCCACCGGGAACGUUUCAGAUGCACAUCAGCAGCAAAAGCGAUCCACACAGCUGGUCCCAUGUGGUCACAAAAUCAAAAGAGAAUAUGAAGAUCACGCGUGGUUUCAGCCGUUCGUGCGACUAGCAAGUAGAAAGACGGCAGCAUGUAUCCAAAAUGUCUGGAGUUUAUUUUCUGUUCUGUAUACCUCGGCAGUGGAGGCUUCACAGAAAGAGUCGGUACGACGUGUUGCUGCCAGGACCAAAGGCAGCUGUCCUGCAGCUUAAGCAGAUGAACCUCCGACUCUGAAUCUGGCAGUCGGCGAAUGAAGAAUAACCACGAUGAGCCGUGUGCAAGAAGGGAACACCGUGCUGUUUGUGUUCAAGCUUGAUGAACUAAAACUGCUUCAAGACGAGUUGUCACCUUCAAGUUAAGAAUUGCUUUCAGAGACUUAACCAGAGCAGCGUUAUUUAUUUAUUUACUUAUUUAUUAAUUUAGUUAUUUAGUUAUCUAACCUUCCAUUUUUAUCCAAAGUCCUGGAGAAAAUAGUGGCCAUCCAAGUAUGUGAGCAUUUAAACACUAAUGCUCUGUUUGAGGAAUUUCAGUCUGGUUUUAGAGAGUAUCACAGCACUGAAACUGCGUUAGUGAGAGUUACAAAUGAUAUUCUCAUGGCCUCAGAUAAGAAUCUUGUGCCUGUUCUAGUCUUGUUAGAUCUCAGUGCUGCCUUUGACACAGUUGAUCACAAUGUUCUUUUAGAAAGACUUGAACAUGUUGUAGGGAUCAAAGAAACAGCGCUAGGCUGGUUUAAAUCCUACCUGUCUGACAGAUUUCAUUUUGUAAAUGUACAUGACAAAUCGUCUUCAUACUCCAGAGUUACUUGCGGAGAACCACAGGGUUCAGUGCUUGGACCAAUUCUUUUUACUAUACUCCCAAUUGGUAAAAUCAUUAGACAGCAUGGGAUAAACUUCCACUGUUAUGCUGACGAUACUCAGUUAAAUUUAUCCAUUAACCCUGAUUAACCUAAUCGGUUAGGUAGAUUACAGGCUUGUCUUGAGGACAUAAAAAAUUGGAUGACUCUAAACUUUUUGCUUUUAAAUCAAGACAAGACGGAAGUUCUUAUCUUUGGACCAGAAAUCCAGAAAAGGAAAUUGCUUAGCCAAUCGCCUGACCUGAAUGGCAUUACAUUAAUCUCCGAGAAUUAGAUUAGAUUAGAUUAGAAGCAUCCUUUCCAGGAGUGAUGCUGAAAAACUAGUUCAUGCAUUUAUUACAUCAAGACUGGAUUACUGUAAUUCAUUACUCUCAGGAAGUCCACA